GAUGAACGCUGGCGGCGUGCUUACCACAUGCAAGUCGAACGGUGAAGCAGAGCUUGCUCUGUGGAUCAGUGGCGAACGGGUGAGUAACACGUGAGCAACCUGCCCCUGACUCUGGGAUAAGCGCUGGAAACGGCGUCUAAUACUGGAUAUGAGCUGCGACCGCAUGGUCAGCAGUUGGAAAGAUUUUUCGGUCUGGGAUGGGCUCACGGCCUAUCAGCUUGUUGGUGAGGUAAUGGCUCACCAAGGCGUCGACGGGUAGCCGGCCUGAGAGGGUGACCGGCCACACUGGGACUGAGACACGGCCCAGACUCCUACGGGAGGCAGCAGUGGGGAAUAUUGCACAAUGGGCGAAAGCCUGAUGCAGCAACGCCGCGUGAGGGAUGACGGCCUUCGGGUGGUAAACCUCUUUUAGCAGGGAAGAAGCGAAAGUGACGGUACCUGCAGAAAAAGCGCCGGCUAACUACGU
rnacentral:rRNA from 1 species